AAGGCCCUGAAGUGAUCAUCCCUUGGGCCCUGGAUGUGCUGCUCCAGGCAGAGAAUCCGUCCACAGCCACAGACCCACAGUGAGACCUUUUCUCUUGCAGGGCUGAUGGAAUGCUGAGACUUGAAAUCUGUUCUGACAGCUCCUGGCAGGGUGAUCUGUGAGGAGGGGCUUUCCUGGAGCUGGGUGCCAACAUCCUGAGGCCAGUGGAGCAGGCAGCGUGCUGGAUUUUGCUUGGUAGGACUGAUCCUGUCCUCUGCUGUGGGAAUGUUCAUCGUUUUAGCAGCCCUGUGGCUAGAGAUCCAUGUGUCUGCAAACAUCAGUGGGAAGCCUUGGAGAAAAACGGAGCCGCUCUGAGCACGCUGUCGGCACGGACCCACCGGCAGGGAGGACGGCUCAAAGGCAGUGAGUAUCUUUAUCUCGGUGUCUGUCUGUCUGUCUGUCUGCCUGUCUGUCUGUCUGCAG
rnacentral:lncRNA from 1 species